rnacentral:rRNA from 1 species
UCUUAAAGAAUUUAAUUUUAAGUAAAACCUGCUCAAUGACUUUUAAAUAGCCGCAGAAUUUUACUGUGCUAAGGUAGCAUAAUCAUUAGCCCCUUAAUUAGGGACUAGAAUGAAUGGGUCAACAAUUCAAAUUCUUUUUUACUUAAAAUAAUAAAAAUUAUAUUAAAUAUAAAAAUAUAUUUAUAAAAUAACAAGACGACAAGACCCUUUCGAACUUUACUUUAGUUUAGCUGGGGCAGCUAACUAAACAUAAUUUUAGUUUAUUUACUUAAAUAUAUGAUCCAAUAUAAUUGUUCAAUAAAUCAAGUUACCGAAGGGAUAACAGCGCAAUAUUGUUUAAAACUCAUAUUUAAAACAAAAUUUACGACCUCGAUGUUGAAUUAUUUCCCUUAUAAGUGCAACAAUUUAUAAAGAAGGUCUGUUCGACCACUAAAAUUAUACA